GUCUGGAGGGCUCUCGGGGCUUCCUUGUGGCGUCUGCAGCCGGGGCGUUCUCCCGCCUGCCGCUGCUCCGCCUACGUCCAGACUCCUCCCGGCUCCCUGAGUUGCGCAACCCGUAGCCGGGGAAGCGCUACGUGGAGACCGCGCUAAGUGGAUGCCGAAGUCUGGAGCUGGGGAACUGGAGGGCGGUAGGUUGGGGCGGGGUUUAAGAGAAAGGCUCGUGGUAACCCCGGUACUGGGCCGGAGCUUACCGGGAGCUUUCUAUGUGGAUGAGCAUUUGUGGUGGCGACUCUGAUUCUUUACUCCUGAGAGUACAGGCCCCAGUGCCGGACUGCCUAGGUGGACCUUGGGCCUAAGUAGAAGGACGGACAGAGGCGGUCAAGUUCUUUCACUCCUCCGUGGACAGAACUGUCCGGUGGCUCCUGUCACGGAGAAGUCAAAGUCACAGUUCCUGGAACUGGAUACAUAGCCCCAGCCUCUCACCGCAUCUCCCUCCUCUCCCUGGCUCUUGGGGUUGUUGCCCCAGACUGAAGCUGCACAAAGGCGAGGAUCUUGAUGUGUUAACCGAUGUAUCUCUAGCAUGGAGAAACGUGCCUGACAGCAAGCACACGAUAAAUAUUAGUGGAAUGGGUAAAUGUGUUUCCAGUUCCUCAUCAGUAAGGACCUUGAAUGGAUGCUGAACAUUCCUUAUCAGAAACCUGAGGAGGAUACUAAAAAGACAGCCACAAUUUUCCUUCUGCUUGCUGCCAAGUUUCUUGAGGUCCCAGCUGUUGGUAGCUUGACUUCUAUCUUUGAGCAAGUGGAGUUCUCAACAUCAAACUCCAGCAUUCGACCAACUUACUCACCAGCCUCAGGCAACACCAGAACAUGGCAGCCUCCCCCAUGUGCGGAAAGAUGCCUCUUUCUGUGGGUAUUCUCUAAGGAAAGGAACAGAAACAAGAGCUAGGCCAUGCAUGACUUCUUUCUCCUUCUAAACUCACCAACCAGCCGUCUUUUCCUCCCUGGAGAAAACCCUUAACACAAAGGUGGUGUGUAUUCCUCCACUGGAAGAAGCUGUAAUUUGCCUGGGAAGGUCCAUCUAUGUGUACAUUUGAAGAGAUAUUACUCAUCUAUGCCAGCAUAUGUGGUGGCUGGAAGUGAGCAAAAGACCCUUACUAAUGAGGAUUUAUGAAUGGCAUGCUUCUUAGAAAGGGAAUUAACGCCCUGUUUGGGUCAGGAUUUCCCAAUAUGUAGUGUGAAUCAACCAUUUUAUUCUGUUUUUUAAAACUCCUUUAUGAUUUGUUUGAAGUUGUCUAAGUUCUGACAUUAGUUUGAUUUGUAGACCCUUUAAGCUCCAUUAACAUAAGAUGACAAAGAGGAGUGUUGAGUUGUGGUAAAGAGCAUGAACCACUGGGGUGAAGUCUUUAUUAGCUGUAUGAUCUAGAGCAGAGCGAUCCCUGAGCAGCGUUGCUGGCAUCACUGGGAAACUUGUUAGAAAUGCACAUUCCUGGCGCUCACCCCAGGUCCCCUGAAGCUGAAACUCAGUGGUGGGGCCCAGCAAUCCGUUUUAAUCAGCCCCGUGGCUGAUUCUGGUGCCCACUAUCAUUGGAGAACAACUGAUCUAAGGCAAGAAAUUUAAGCCCUCCAAGCUUCAAUUUAUUUAUCUGUAAAAUAGAAAUGAUAAUCCUCAAGACACAGGAUCUUUGUGAGGAUGAAAUAUUAGUUAACAUUUAUGGAGCACAUCUCCCAGUGCCAGGCACUGUUCUUAGCACGUACCAUAUUUUAUCUCAUGUAAUCCUGAAAUUAACUUCAUCUCAAAUAAAGAUUAGAAAAGUACCUAGCACAUAGGGAGCAGUCAAUAAUUGUUACUAUUAUAUUAUUACCUUUCUGAGUUGUAAAAGAUAAAAUGAGAUGAUAUAAAUACUGAGCACAGCAUCUAAUACAUAGUAUAUGCAUAACAGGUAUUAACUGUUUGCACAUAAAAGUAUUUGUCUGAAGAGUAAACAUUAUUCACAUGGGUCUUUAUGGGAAGUGGGAUGGAGUCUAACAUUUUAGACUAGACUGGACUAACUGACAGGGAAUCUCCCCCUGGAAAAAAAGGCCAUUACAGAAAACGUUUUAUAGAUCACAUUUCAACAUUUCUUUUUGUGAUUUGUCAAAAAUCAAGGAAGCCAAAGAGAGCUCUUUGAACUAAUUGGGAGGGCCAAGAAAGUAAUAACUACUCUCUAAUUAAGCUGGUAAUAGCUGCCCUCUAUUGGUGAGAUCAAAGGCCAGAGAAACACUGCCCAUGAGGACUUUGGAAGACAGGCUGCUCUCUAUGAUGAUAGCCUUGAAGUUUUGGACCCUCCGAAGUAGCUCAGAGAGAGAGAAUUGUUCUGUCUGUGAGGGUCCGAGAGAAAGAGGGAGAAGGCCCAGGUGGAUGGAGAACACUUAAAGGUUUGUUAGGCAAGCGUUCGUUUGUAUUUGGGCAUUUAUAUUUGUUUCAGAAUCUAACUUUGAAUUGUGUCUUCUAAAAUAAAGAAGUCAAAAAAAUGCAAAUGAAAUGAAAUGAACAAGUCACUAGCUGUGGCUUUGCAGCUUUAUAUAAAGAAUUCCUGAGUAUUGGAAAAGAACUGCUGGAAAAGCAUGCUCUCCCUCUGUCUGCUGUGAAUGGGACACCUUUCCUGUCUGCACUCUCUUCCCCAGCAAAGCUGACCUCUCCAUCUUUGUGCCCAAAACCCCACUGGCUUCUCCUCUCAUGACACCUGGUACGCACAGAAGCGCUUGGCUUUUUCGUGGUCUACACCAGAACUGCCCAGUCAUGCAAGUUACAUUUUUUACUUAAAAUUUUUUUUUAAGUAGACACUAAAAAAAGUGAAAAGGAACAGGUGAAAUUAAUUUUAACAAUGUAGUUUAUCGAGACCACAAUAUCCUGAAUAUUACGGCUUUGAUAGGUAACUAAUGUAUAAGUAUUAAGGAGAUAUUUUACAGUUUGGGGACGGUACCCAUUCUUUGAAGUCUGGUGUGCAUUUUAUACCUACAGCACAUCACAAUUUGGCUUAGCCCCAUUUUGAGUGCUCGAUAGCCACAUGGGGCUCGGGGCUCCCGUGUGGGACGCUAUGGGGCUAGAAGGCAGCAUCUAACCUGUCUUUGCACCCACAGUGCUUUGUUCAGUGCCUAAAGCCAAUGUCAUUUCAUGGGUAAAUGUGGCAUGUAGAAUUCUAAGAUCACGUCCAGCGAUCCUUGCCUUUGUAUAAUCGUUUCCUCUUUGAAUGUGGGUGGAACAUAUAACCAUGAUGAGAUAUCAAUCUAUUGAUUAUGAUAUGUUAUAUGGCAAAAGGGAGAUUAUUUGGGUGGGCCUGCUCUAAUCAGGUGAGUCUUUUAAGAGAGAGAAACAUUCCUGCUGGCCUAGAAGAAAGCAUACAUACACCUAUGUAGUGAACUGCCAAUGGAAAGGAGCAGCCUCUAGAAACUGAGACAGGUCCCCAGCCAAUGAGCUAGAGAGAAAACAGGGACCUCAGUCCUAAAACCACAAAGAACUGAAUUCUACCAACAACUAGUGAGCUUUUAAGAGCACUCUGAACUCUAGAUGAGAACUAUAGCUGACACUUUGAUUUCAGCCUUGUGAGCGCCCCCCAGCACAGAACCUAGCCAUUUUGGGCCCAGAUGACCUACAGAACUGUAAGCUAAUACAGGCAUAUUGUUUGGAAGCCACUAAAUUUGUUGUAAUUUGUUACACAGCAGUAGAAAAGUAAUGCAGUAAAUAAAUGUCAUAAUUCAGCAACAUCAUCCAGCUGGUGGCAAGGUCUCUAAACCGUAGGCAUAGUCCCUCAGAGGAAUUAGUAACUUCUGAACUUUAGACUUAAAAAUCAAACCAGUAUCAUGAUGACAACAUAUUUAUUUAAUCGUGAGUAUUAGCAAUCUCAGUGUUUGAGUGAGUCUCUCUUUCCCAGGGCCAUUUGUAUCAGAGGGAAGAGCUAAGUGAGAGGCAAAAAAACAAAACAAAACAAAACAAAACACAAAAGACAAAGCCUCUGGAAAUAAGUUUGAUAUACUUACCUUGUAAAGGAGUGACUGUUGAUUAGAGGCAAAUACAAAAAAUGACGACGAUAAUAAGGAUAGCUCACACUUUUUGGGUUUGUACUCUGUGCCAGGCAUAUCACCCACGACCCUGAGAGGCAGAUGCGAUUAUUACCUUCCUUUUAUGGAUGUGGAAACCAAGUUUAAGAGGUAGGAGGAGAUUUAGCUGCAUAACCAGGCGAUAAAGGUAAUUAGGAAUUAGGAAGGAAGAGGAAGAAGAGGUAUUUUUGGAUGAAGUACUCUUCAGAACAGAUUAGCUUGACUCUCAAAUGCAGCCCUUUCUCUUGGAUGACAGAGAGCUCUGUUUCCUCUCUGUUAACAGGUUCUCUUCAUACCCGUUCCUUCUAACAAGGUGCAUUUCCCAAGUGGUCCUCAAUCUCUGCAUUCUGCCUUUUACUUUCUCCUUUGGGGAAGUCGAUGAGUCCUGUCACUGCCAAUAGUACCUCUGGUCCUGGCUGUGAAAGGUACAUCUUGAACCCUAUUGUUCUGAGUUCCAGCCCUCCAGGGACAUUUCCACUUGGAUGUCUCCCUGUCCUCUCAAGUUCAGCUCAGUCAAGGUGGAGUUCAGCACUAUGCCCUGAAAACCAGCUCUCCUCUGUGAUACUCUACACCUGCCAACAAUUCCAUAACCACUGGCUAGUCCACCAGGCUGCAAACCCCAAAGACUCUUCAGCCCUUUCUCAUCUCCGUUCCCUUUAGCCAAACUACUGCUAAAAGUAUCUUUCCAGAAUGUUUGCUCAGCCAUUCCUUCUACACUCUCCAACCUCCUCAGUCCUUUAGUCCACUGCCCUUCUUUACUGUCUUCCUUAUCCAGCUUUGAUUCCAUGGUGCAUCAGUUCCGUCCCUCUUGCCAGGGCCCAAAUCCCCUUGCCACUCUAUUUUCAUCAUUCCUAUUUGACAUGACUUGAAGCCAACCAUCUUCUUGCUCUCCAACGAGGAGACUGAGUGGUACUGAAAAAAAUUGCACAGAGGAAAGAUAAAGUUAAGGUAGAAGCCUCUCUUCUAGUUUCCACGGAGGCCCCAAGACCAAGGAUGCCAAAUACUGUCACAUUCCAGAGCAAAUUAUUGGCUCCUCCCUAUGCAUGACUCCUAAAGAAGGUGGAUGAAACAGGUUUUAUGAUCUUUAUCUUUCACUUACCUUUAGCUGUGAGUUUUUUCUAUCUGAUACUCCCUCCUACUUACCCCCCUAGCCAUGUGGGAGCUUCAUAGUCGUCUUUGAUAGGUAGCUUUUGAGGCUUGGAGGGUACAGACAGACAUUUAGACUCAUGCCUAGGGGAAAAAAGUCUUUAAUGAGAGGUUUGCUGAAGUGAACUGCGUGUCAGCACAGCAGAGGGCUGCAUUUAGGAAAUAACCACAUUCUGGCCUCUGCCAGGUCAAAGCUGCAUUUUUUUUUUCAGGGGCCAAAUGUCACACCGACGGUAGGAAUGUGAGUCUGCCUUGUUUAGAAAGGAAUCUUGACCCAGAGGGCUUCCUGCAAUCGAUGAGGUAUCCUUGGCAAAAAGAGGUCAGGGGUUCCACUGGGUGGAGAAGCAGAAGGGAAUCAUAUGGGGCUGGUUCGAGGAGAGGACCGCCUGAGACAAAGGAAUUACAGAUGGAAGGGGUCCAAGCAGGGGAGCAUCUGAGGAGGCUGUGGAUAUGAUCCCAUGAGAGGGACAUCAGUCAAGGGAAACUACACCAGCUUAUAUCUGUGUCAGUCAAAUAAGGCCUUCCCUCUUCUUACCAUUCUGUUGCCUUUGCCCCCAUCCUGGAGGGUCCAUUAGAAGUCAGGUGGUGGGGGGAACGGAGCAGCGGUCAGGGAGAAGUAGCAUGAAUGGGGAAAUAGAGAUGAACAUCCCAUUCCCCACUGCAGGCUCUUUGGGAUGAAGUGACCAGAGGACAUUUUGUUAUCUGAGAUGAUCACAGUCAGAAGACCUUCCUAAUGUUUCAUCUGAAGGGUGGGGAAGAGUAGGCGCAAAAGAGAGGAUUCAGAUGGGCAGUUGGGGGUGAAGAAUAAAAUUGUUUCUCUUUGCAUCCUCUGAGUCCAGCUUGCUCAGUGAGACCAUUCAGUUUGUAUCACUGAAAUAAUCUCAGUCCACAGUCAUCCUUGAGGCCAUGGCAAUAUAACACUUUUCUGGUGGGUGCACUGUCCUAUUCUCUGCAAAGUUACCUUAUGCUUCUCUACCUUCCUUGAUCCCUGAACUUCACACUGGCCCCUUACUCUCAGAUGAUCUUGCCUCACUCUUUGCAGAGAAAAUAGAAUCUGUCAGAUGGGAGGAAAUUCUCUCCAUUUCUUCUGCAUCACUAAAUGGAGUUAACUAUACUUAGAGUGUUAAUUGUUAAUUGAUGCAUAUAUUGUAAGUAUAUAAAGGUUGGUUCCACUAUUUGUCAAUAGUAUAUUCUCUUAGGC